rnacentral:rRNA from 1 species
UACGUAGGGGGGCUAGCGUUGUCCGGAAUCAUUGGGCGUAAAGAGCGUGUAGGCGGUCCGGUAAGUCCGCUGUGAAAGUCGGGGGCUCAACCCUCGAAUGCCGGUGGAUACUGUCGGGCUAGAGUGCGGAAGAGGCGAGUGGAAUUCCUGGUGUAGCGGUGAAAUGCGCAGAUAUCAGGAGGAACACCAAUUGCGAAGGCAGCUCGCUGGGACGUUACUGACGCUGAGACGCGAAAGCGUGGGGAGCAAACAGG